GAUGAACGCUGGCGGCGUGCCUAAUACAUGCAAGUCGAGCGAACGGACGAGAAGCUUGCUUCUCUGAUGUUAGCGGCGGACGGGUGAGUAACACGUGGAUAACCUACCUAUAAGACUGGGAUAACUUCGGGAAACCGGAGCUAAUACCGGAUAAUAUUUUGAACCGCAUGGUUCAAAAGUGAAAGACGGUCUUGCUGUCACUUAUAGAUGGAUCCGCGCUGCAUUAGCUAGUUGGUAAGGUAACGGCUUACCAAGGCAACGAUGCAUAGCCGACCUGAGAGGGUGAUCGGCCACACUGGAACUGAGACACGGUCCAGACUCCUACGGGAGGCAGCAGUAGGGAAUCUUCCGCAAUGGGCGAAAGCCUGACGGAGCAACGCCGCGUGAGUGAUGAAGGUCUUCGGAUCGUAAAACUCUGUUAUUAGGGAAGAACAUAUGUGUAAGUAACUGUGCACAUCUUGACGGUACCUAAUCAGAAAGCCACGGCUAACUACGUGCCAGCAGCCGCGGUAAUACGUAUGUGGCAAGCGUUAUCCGGAAUUAUUGGGCGUAAAGCGCGCGUAGGCGGUUUUUUAAGUCUGAUGUGAAAGCCCACGGCUCAACCGUGGAGGGUCAUUGGAAACUGGAAAACUUGAGUGCAGAAGAGGAAAGUGGAAUUCCAUGUGUAGCGGUGAAAUGCGCAGAGAUAUGGAGGAACACCAGUGGCGAAGGCGACUUUCUGGUCUGUAACUGACGCUGAUGUGCGAAAGCGUGGGGAUCAAACAGGAUUAGAUACCCUGGUAGUCCACGCCGUAAACGAUGAGUGCUAAGUGUUAGGGGGUUUCCGCCCCUUAGUGCUGCAGCUAACGCAUUAAGCACUCCGCCUGGGGAGUACGACCGCAAGGUUGAAACUCAAAGGAAUUGACGGGGACCCGCACAAGCGGUGGAGCAUGUGGUUUAAUUCGAAGCAACGCGAAGAACCUUACCAAAUCUUGACAUCCUUUGACAACUCUAGAGAUAGAGCCUUCCCCUUCGGGGGACAAAGUGACAGGUGGUGCAUGGUUGUCGUCAGCUCGUGUCGUGAGAUGUUGGGUUAAGUCCCGCAACGAGCGCAACCCUUAAGCUUAGUUGCCAUCAUUAAGUUGGGCACUCUAAGUUGACUGCCGGUGACAAACCGGAGGAAGGUGGGGAUGACGUCAAAUCAUCAUGCCCCUUAUGAUUUGGGCUACACACGUGCUACAAUGGGCAAUACAAAGGGCAGCGAAACCGCGAGGUCAAGCAAAUCCCAUAAAGUUGUUCUCAGUUCGGAUUGUAGUCUGCAACUCGACUACAUGAAGCUGGAAUCGCUAGUAAUCGUAGAUCAGCAUGCUACGGUGAAUACGUUCCCGGGUCU
rnacentral:rRNA from 1 species